GCCGCUAUCGUCUAGUGGUUAGGACAUCAGGUUCUCAUCCUGAAAAUCGGGGUUCAAUUCCCCGUAGCGGUACCA
rnacentral:tRNA from 3 species